AAGUGAAAAAAAGCGGCCAAGUGCGAGUCGGACUCGCCCAUGAAGGGUUCCGUAGCAGCAAGUAACAAAAUAAAAUUGCGGUUUACGAUUUAUGACGUAUUAAAAAAAAAACUACUUACUAGAUCUCUUACAGGGGGGGGGGACGACGACGACACAUUUUACCACUUUGGAAGUGUCUCUCGCGCAAACUAUUCAGUUUAGAAAAAAAUGAUAUUAGAAACCUCAAUAUAAUUUUUGAAGACCUAUCCAUAG